rnacentral:ncRNA from 1 species
CGCACGAGCCCGGUUUGCCGUACGGCGCCAUCGUCCGUCGUCGGGAUCUCACCGCCUACGACGGCGCGGCGUCUAACGGUCGAACAUGAGUUUCGCGAGUUCGAUGUCGAGACUCGGAAUCGUCUGUAGACGACUUAGGUACCUGGCGGGGUGUUGUACUCGGUAGAGCAGUUACCACGCUGCGAUCUGUUGAGACUCAGCCCUCGGCUUGGGGAUUCGU